rnacentral:rRNA from 1 species
AACGAACGCUGGCGGCAUGCCUAACACAUGCAAGUCGAACGAGACCUUCGGGUCUAGUGGCGCACGGGUGCGUAACGCGUGGGAACCUGCCCUUAGGUUCGGAAUAACUCCCCGAAAGGGGUGCUAAUACCGGAUAAUGUCUUCGGACCAAAGAUUUAUCGCCUUUGGAUGGGCCCGCGUUGGAUUAGCUAGUUGGUAGGGUAAAAGCCUACCAAGGCGACGAUCCAUAGCUGGUCUGAGAGGAUGAUCAGCCACACUGGGACUGAGACACGGCCCAGACUCCUACGGGAGGCAGCAGUGGGGAAUAUUUGGCAAUGGGCGAAAGCCUGAUCCAGCAAUGCCGCGUGAGUGAUGAAGGCCUUAGGGUUGUAAAGCUCUUUUACCCGGGAUGAUAAUGGCAGUACCGGGAGAAUAAGCUCCGGCUAACUCCGUG